rnacentral:lncRNA from 1 species
UCAGCUAAUUGUGUGAACACUGAUCAGAUUUGGACACCAUGGAACAAUGAUGACAAAAAGGCUGAAUCUCCUGAAAAUCCCAUUGGACCAUAUGGCUUUCCACUAUACUCUGAGAAAUACAAUCCGAGCCCACUACCCAAGUACAAGGAUCCAGGUAAAGCAAAUUCUAUUUUUAACAAAUAUUCUAAUAUCUACUGGAUUAUUGACUCAGGUGCCUCUGAGCACCUGAGUGAAAAUGAAUCUCUAUUCCAAAA